rnacentral:rRNA from 1 species
UACGUAGGGUGCGAGCGUUAAUCGGACUUACUGGGCGUAAAGCGUGCGCAGGCGGUGAGUUAAGUCUGAUGUGACAGCCCCGGGCUCCACCUGGGAAUGGCAUUGGAAACUGGCUCGCUGGAGUAUGGCAGAGGGAGGUGGAAUUCCACGUGUAGCGGUGAAAUGCGUAGAGAUGUGGAGGAACACCGAUGGCGAAGGCAGCCCCCUGGGUCAACACUGACGCUCAUGCACGAAAGCGUGGGGAGCAAACAGG